rnacentral:rRNA from 1 species
UGUGCCUACGGGACGCAGCAGUGGGGAAUAUUGGACAAUGGGGGGAACCCUGAUCCAGCGACGCCGCGUGAGUGAAGAAGUAUUUCGGUAUGUAAAGCUCUAUCAGCAGGGAAGAGAAUGACGGUACCUGACUAAGAAGCCCCGGCUAACUACGUGCCAGCAGCCGCGGUAAUACGUAGGGGGCGAGCGUUAUCCGGAUUUACUGGGUGUAAAGGGAGCGUAGACGGCUGGUCAAGUCUGAAGUGAAAGCCCGGGGCUUAACCCCGGAACGGCUUUGGAAACUGAGCAGCUAGAGUGCUGGAGAG